GUCUCGCGCAAAACCCAAUCAAAACCUAAACUGCUCCGUGCUUAGGUUGUCACCUCUUGUUGUCUUCUACUUCUCUCUCCUACUCGAAUCUCUCUUAUUCUCUUAUUCUCUCAUUUCUUCUCUCCCGUCCCCAUUCUCGAUCUCUCGUCCCCAAAUCUCUGUCUCUCUCCUCCUCAUGCGUCGAUAUUUAACGGAUAUGGUGGUGAUAAGGGCGGCGGCGUCGACGAUGAUGAAGGUUCUUGUGCCUCUUUAAUUUCAUGCUUAGGGUUCCGAGUUUUUGGGUUUUUUGGUUGUACGAAUCAAAGAAAAGAGAGUGCGGGUGGGAAUCUAUACUUAGAUGAAAAGAAAAUACAAUAUAUGGCCUAUAAAAGAGGGAAGCGUAUCUAUUGGAUGUGUGGAAGUUUACAUGAGCAAGAGAUUAGAGGAAAACCAAUCAACAAGCUGCUAUUCGACUUCUGGGGUAUAUUGGUGGUACAAGACGGAUAGUCAUGCAACUGAACUAACAACAGGUUCUACAACCUGUGUAACCGUGAUGGUAUGCUGCAAUGAUUUCCAUGUUGAAGAAACAUGGAGCUGCUUUGACCUUCACACCUGCAAAAGUGGAUUUGUUGGAUCAGCUUAAGGAUUCUUCUGAACCACUUUCCGUUCCUGAAGGACUGGCUUGGCAAAAUGGGACUCGUCAUAACUUGGAAUGGAGCAGCCACUAACAACCCAACAUUUGCAGAAAUAAUUAUUGAGAAAUAACGAACAAGAAUAUAUACAUUGGGUCGUUCUUUCGAGAAUAUGCAUUGGAUUGUUCUGUCGGUCGUUGUGAAGGUGAUGAUUCUGGGUGUUGGUCGUGUAGGGGUGUGCCAUAUGUUCUUUUAAAUUCUAAAUAGUUCGUGGGAGUUGUAUGCUCUAACUUUUAUUCGUUUAUUGUAAUUCAUUGUUGUAAGUUUGUUACUUAGUAGAAUUCGGAUGAUUGUAAUUUUAAAGUGUUAAAUGUUAAUAACAAAUGGUAUUUGAAAAUUGGAAAUAAUUUGACUUUUUAUUUAA